rnacentral:rRNA from 1 species
GACGAACGCUGGCGGCGUGCUUAACACAUGCAAGUCGAACGGAAAGGCCCUGCUUUUGUGGGGGGCUCGAGUGGCGAACGGGUGAGUAACACGUGAGUAACCUGCCCUUGACUUUGGGAUAACUUCAGGAAACUGGGGCUAAUACCGGAUAGGAGCUCCUGCUGCAUGGUGGGGGUUGGAAAGUUUCGGCGGUUGGGGAUGGACUCGCGGCUUAUCAGCUUGUUGGUGGGGUAGUGGCUUACCAAGGCUUUGACGGGUAGCCGGCCUGGGAGGGUGACCGGCCCCAUUGGGACUGGGAUACGGCCCGGACUCCUUCGGGAGGCAGCAGUGGGGAAUAUUCCACAAUGGGCGGCAGCCUGAUGCAGCGACGCCGCGUGCGGGAUGACGGCCUUCGGGUUGUAAACCGCUUCCGCCUGUGACGAAGCGUGAGUGACGGUAAUGGGUAAAGAAGCACCGGCUAACUACGUG